rnacentral:rRNA from 1 species
GAACGGGUGAGUAAUACAUAAAUAAUCUACCAUAAUGACUGGGAUAACCAAUGGAAACGCUGGCUAAUACCGGAUAGGUAAAACGAGGGCAUCUUUGUUUUAUUAAAGUAGGGCUACUACACAAUAUGAUGAGUUUAUGGCGCAUUAGCUAGUUGGUGAGGUAACGGCUCACCAAGGCUAUGAUGCGUAGCCGACCUGAGAGGGUGACCGGCCACACUGGGACUGAGACACGGCCCAGACUCCUACGGGAGGCAGCAGUAGGGAAUUUUCGGCAAUGGGCGCAAGCCUGACCGAGCAACGCCGCGUGAGUGAAGAAGGCCUUCGGGUUGUAAAGCUCUGUUGUAAGGGAAGAACACUUUUUAGAGGAAAUGCUAGAGAGCUGACGGUACCUUACCAGAAAGCCACGGCUAACUACGUGCCAGCAGCCGCGGUAAUACGUAGGUGGCGAGCGUUAUCCGGAAUUAUUGGGCGUAAAGGGUGCGUAGGCGGUUUAUUAAGUCUGUGGUGAAAGUGCGGGGCUCAACCCCGUAUGGCCACAGAAACUGAUAGACUAGAGUACAGGAGAGGGCAGUGGAAUUCCAUGUGUAGCGGUAAAAUGCGU